AUGUCGCCUUAUUUGUUUGUUAUUGCUAUCAAUGAAUUAUCUGUUGCUCUUAAUGAAGCUCUAGCUGCUCAUCAUCUCCAGGGUAUUUCACUUGGUCCAGAUUGCCCUUCUAUUCAUUCUCUGUUGUUUGCAGAUGAUCUGUUGGUUUGUGGUCAAGCCACUAUGCAGGAAGCAAAUUCUAUGGCUCAACUCAUCCAUCACUUUUGUUAUAUUUCAGGUCAAACACCAAAUUGGGCCAAAUCUGCUAUUCUUUUUAGUACUCAUGUUAGUCAAACCACUAUUCAAGAGAUUAAGCAAGUUUUUCCUAUUUCUAUCAUGGAUAACAAUUUCACCCACCUUGGUCAUCCGCUUAUUCUUCCUGCUAAAAAUAGAACUGCUACUUACAACUUUGUUAUUGAUAAAUUUCUGAAUAAAUUGCGUGCUUACAAAGCUAAUAUGCUCUCUCAUGCUGCUAGGCUUGAGCUCAUUAGGUCUGUGUUCUCUGCUAUUCCUGUGUACUACAUGUCUAAUAUUUUGUUUACCAAGAAGUUUAUAGCCAAACUCACUGCUAUUAUAAGGAACUUUUGGUGGACAGGAAUCAGAGAGAAUAAUUCUAACAAGAGCCUUUAUCUUAGGGCUUGGAAGGACAUUUGCAAUUACAAACAGGAAGGUGGUCUUGGCAUUAGGAACUUGCAAGCAAUUAAUGAGGGCUUACUUCUUGCAGCUGCUUGGAGGCUUGCUAAAGACCCUUCCUCCCACCUUCAUCUUGUGCUCAAAUCUAAAUACUUCCAUGAUGCCUCUAUUUGGACUGCUAUUUCUACUACUCCAAAAUCUGCUUUCUGGUCAUCCAUUUUAAAAAUGUUGUCUAAACUGAAAGAUCACUCUUUUUACCAACUCACGCAAGGGAAUAUCUCUCUUUGGAGUACCCCUUGGUGUUCCCUUUGGGCUUCUGUUCAUGACAAUCUUAUUAUUCAGCCUUCAGGAUACAUAUAUCCUUCUCUUGUUAAGGACCUUUGGAUACCGGGUCAGAAAGUCUGGAACAAUGACCUCAUUAACUCUCUCUUUCAACAGCCUCUAGCCUCUGUUAUCGUUCAAACUGACAUUAUUCACCAAGAUUGCCCGGAUAUAUUAUGUUGGGAUCUAACUCCUAAUGGUACUUGUUCUUCCAAGUCCACUUAUAAAUUGUGUUUGCAGGAUAUUCAUGCCAAUCCAAGAAAUACUCCUUCCCAAGUUUCUUUGCAGAUGAAAAAUCUUCUCAAGUUGAUUUGGAAGCAAAAGUUGAUGAUCCCCAGAGUUCAAACUUUCGCUUGGAGACUCCUUCGGAAAGCUCUUCCCACAGGUUUGAGGGUUGGGCGCUUUUCCGUACAUAUUUCUCAAUAUUGUUGCAGAUGUGGUCAGCAAGAGGAUGAGGUUCACAUGUUUUUUCUUUGUGACUUCGCUAGAGCUGCUUGGUUUUCUCAUCCUUGGUUCAUCAGAACAAAUGCUUUAGUUCAGAUCUAUACCAAUAUCCAUAGUAUUAUUCUUGCUUUACUUAAUAUGAACCAUCCGCAUGCUUCUGUUGCCAACAUUCUAAAUUUUAUGUGGUGUCUUUGGAAAGCGAGGAAUGAUUAUAUUUUUAAUAGAAAGAAAGCUACCCCUCACCAAGUUAAUAUUGCUGCUACUUCUCUAUCUAAUGAUUUCUGUGAUCUGCUUAACAGUUCUUCACACCAUUAG
rnacentral:rRNA from 1 species